AGAUAAAAAAAGACCGAAUACGAUUCCUGUAUUCGGUCCAGGGAAAUGGCUCUUGGGAGAGAGCCGUGCGCUAAAAGUUGGCAUUAAUGCAGGCUGAAAUCGCCUUGCCCUUUAAGAAUAGAUUACGAUGUCAGGUUUUCCAGUCC
rfam:Escherichia hermannii NBRC 105704 DNA, contig: EH10570401.